rnacentral:rRNA from 1 species
CCUACGGGAGGCUGCAGUGGGGAAUAUUGGGCAAUGGGCGCAAGCCUGACCCAGCAACGCCGCGUGACGGAAGAAGGCUUUCGGGGUGUAAACUUCUUUUGACAGGGAAGAGUAGAAGACGGUACCUGUCGAAUAAGCCUAGGCUAACUACGUGCCAGCAGCCGCCGACAUACGUAGGUGGCACGCGUUGUCCGGAUUUACUGGGUGGAACGGGCGUGUAGCCGGGUUGACAAGUCAGAUGUGAAAUCCUGCGGCUUAACCGCAGAACUGCAUUUGAAACUGUUGAUCUUGAGUACUGGAGAGGCAGACGGAAUGCGUGGUGUAGCGGUGAAAUGCGUAGAUAUUAGGAGGAACACCAGUGGCGAAGGCGGUCUGCUGGACAGCAACUGACGGUGAGGCGCGAAAGCGUGGGGAGCAAACAGGAUUAGAUACCCCUGUAGUC